CCUACGGGGGGCUGCAGUGGGGAAUAUUGGACAAUGGGGGGAACCCUGAUCCAGCCAUGCCGCGUGUGUGAAGAAGGCCCUCGGGUUGUAAAGCACUUUCAGUGAGGAAGAACGCCUGGUGGUUAAUACCCAUCAGGAAAGACAUCACUCACAGAAGAAGCACCGGCUAACUCCGUGCCAGCAGCCGCGGUAAUACGGAGGGUGCGAGCGUUAAUCGGAAUUACUGGGCGUAAAGCGCGCGUAGGUGGCUUGAUAAGCCGGUUGUGAAAGCCCCGGGCUCAACCUGGGAACGGCAUCCGGAACUGUCAAGCUAGAGUGCAGGAGAGGAAGGUAGAAUUCCCGGUGUAGCGGUGAAAUGCGUAGAGAUCGGGAGGAAUACCAGUGGCGAAGGCGGCCUUCUGGACUGACACUGACACUGAGGUGCGAAAGUGUGGGUAGCAAACAGGAUUAGAUACCCGUGUAGUC
rnacentral:rRNA from 1 species